CGCGUAGGCGGUGCGGUAAGUCACCUGUGAAACCUCCGGGCUCAACUCGGAGCCUGCAGGCGAAACUGCCGUGCUGGAGUGUGGGAGGGGUGCGUGGAAUUCCCGGUGUAGCAGUGAAAUGCGUAGAGAUCGGGAGGAACACCUGUGGCGAAAGCGGCGCACUGGACCACAACUGACGCUGAGGCGCGAAAGCUAGGGGAGCAAACAGGAUUAGAUACCCUGGUAGUCCUAGCCCUAAACGAUGGAUGCUUGGUGUAGCCGGUACCCAAUCCGGCUGUGCCGCAGCUAACGCGAUAAGCAUCCCGCCUGGGGAUACGGUCGCAAGGCUAGAA
rnacentral:rRNA from 1 species